rnacentral:tmRNA from 1 species
GGGGGCGAACGGCUUCGACGAAACGAGCGAAGUGCAACAGGGCAUACCGAGGGUUUCGGCCACCUCGCUAAUCCGACCGGAGAAAAAAACAUCCUGAAAUGGGAUAUGCUCUGGCUGCAUAAUAACAUGUAGCCACGUCUCCCUGGGUGGUCAGCCCAGCUCAGGGUAAGGCGUCAUAUAGGGCUGAAACCCGCUGAUUCGUGCCUUGCGGAUCAGUGUGGUAUCUCGAAAGGCUAGCUCUUGUUGACCCGUCUCUUGGUGACACGAGAGGACACUCAUAAGGAGACUAAGUAUGUAGUCCGGUUCAUGGAAUCGUUUCGGACGCGGGUUCAAUUCCCGCCGCCUCCACCA